CAGUCGCCACGGUAAUACAGAGGGUGCAAGCGUUAAUCGGAAUUACUGGGCGUAAAGCGCGCGUAGGUGGUUCGCCAAGUUGGAUGUGAAAUCCCCGGGCUCAACCUGGGAACUGCAUCCAAAACUGGCGAGCUAGAGUAUGGUAGAGGGUGGUGGAAUUUCCUGUGUAGCGGUGAAAUGCGUAGAUAUAGGAAGGAACAUCAGUGGCGAAGGCGACCACCUGGACUGAUACUGACACUGAGGUGCGAAAGCGUGGGGAGCAAACAGGAUUAGAGACCCGUGUAGUCCCUGUCUCUUAUAC
rnacentral:rRNA from 1 species